rnacentral:rRNA from 1 species
GGUUCAGGAUGAACGCUAGCUACAGGCUUAACACAUGCAAGUCGAGGGGCAGCAUUGGGAUAGCUUGCUAUCCAGAUGGCGACCGGCGCACGGGUGAGUAACGCGUAUCCAACCUUCCCUACAGUAGGGGAUAGCCCGGCGAAAGUCGGAUUAACACCCUAUGUUCUUCUUUGAUGACAUCUGACGAGAAGCAAAGGUUUACCGCUAUAGGAUGGGGAUGCGUCUGAUUAGCUUGUCGGCGGGGUAACGGCCCACCGAGGCAACGAUCAGUAGGGGUUCUGAGAGGAAGGUCCCCCACAUUGGUACUGAGACACGGACCAAACUCCUACGGGAGGCAGCAGUGAGGAAUAUUGGUCAAUGGGCGAGAGCCUGAACCAGCCAAGUAGCGUGCAGGAAUGACUGCCCUAUGGGUUGUAAACUGCUUUUAUGCGGGAAUAAAGUGAGGCACGUGUGCCUUUUUGUAUGUACCUGAUGAAUAAGGACCGGCUAAUUCCGUGCCAGCCGCCGC